rnacentral:rRNA from 1 species
UACGAAGGGUGCAAGCGUUACUCGGAAUUACUGGGCGUAAAGCGUGCGUAGGUGGUUUGUUAAGUCUGUUGUGAAAGCCCCGGGCUCAACCUGGGAAUGGCAAUGGAUACUGGCAAGCUAGAGUGCGGUAGAGGGUAGUGGAAUUCCCGGUGUAGCGGUGAAAUGCGUAGAGAUCGGGAGGAACACCAGUGGCGAAGGCGGCUACCUGGACCAGCACUG